UUGGCGUGUUCAGACGUGGUUGGGCCUCUGUUUCGGCCAGUUUCGAGGCGAGAAGUGCAGCGUCUGUGUUUGUUACACGUGUAAUCAUAGCAUUCCUCUGGUUGCGGUGGCUUCGCGGUGCAAUGGCAAAUUCCAAACCUAAAAAGAGGGGUCUGUGGCUGAAGGCGACAUGGCAAAGGGAGGAGAGGAGGAACGUCCUGCGCAAGUGGCAUGCCCCCUACCACCGAAUGGUACGAACGGUCUGGAGUUGAUACGGCACGGGAUCUGCUGUCCAUUCGGCAGGACCAGCUGGCUGUCCAGCGAGAACUGCUGGCCACACAGCAGGGUCUGCUGGCCACCCAGCAGCAGCAGCUGGCAGUUCAGCAGGAAAUGCUGCUCGUGCAGAGAGAGGCAGUCGAUGCACUCCGUCGACUUGCAAGCAUAUUUGAGCAGUCCGUGGACACAGGGGUGUUGCCCUCUGACCGGAAAAUUAGCUGUAGAGGGACAAGCAGCAGCAAGUGCGCACCAGUCGUCCGCACUGACUUCGCUAGU
rnacentral:lncRNA from 1 species